AUCAUCGCGAUCGAAGCCAGUGAUGGCUUGGGGUCGACAUUGAGAGCUGAUUUGGCCGAUGCUACAUUUUCGAAACAUCUAGCGAUCGAAAUAAACUGUAGCAAGAUUGAUCACGGUUAUCGAAUAUUUGAGUCUAGUCAUCUAAGGAAUUUGGAUACUGGAAAACAGAAUGCAGUAGCUGAGCGGGCCACAAUUUAUAAAUCGCGUAAAGGAACAGACCGCAUUUAACAGAGAUCCGGACGAUCGUGGACAUAUGCCACUGCAUUCAAUGUAUGAAGCAGCAAGCAAGAG